rnacentral:rRNA from 1 species
UACGGGAGGCAGCGGUGGGGAAUAUUGCACAAUGGGCGCAAGCCUGAUGCAGCCAUGCCGCGUGUAUGAAGAAGGCCUUCGGGUUGUAAAGUACUUUCAGUCGUGAGGAAGGUGUUAAGGUUAAUAACCUUAGCAAUUGACGUUAGCGACAGAAGAAGCACCGGCUAACUCCGUGCCAGCAGCCGCGGUAAUACGGAGGGUGCGAGCGUUAAUCGGAAUUACUGGGCGUAAAGGGCACGCAGGCGGUUAAUUAAGUUGGAUGUGAAAUCCCCGGGCUUAACCUGGGAAUGGCAUUCAAGACUGGUUAGCUAGAGUCUUGUAGAGGGGGUAGAAUUCCAUGUGUAGCGGUGAAAUGCGUAGAGAUGUGGAGGAAUACCGGUGGCGAAGGCGGCCCCUGGACAAAGACUGACGCUCAUGUGCGAAAGCUGGGGAGCAAACAGGGAUUAGAUACC